rnacentral:rRNA from 1 species
AUUGAACGCUGGCGGCAGGCUUAACACAUGCAAGUCGAGCGGAGAUGAGGUGCUUGCACCUUAUCUUAGCGGCGGACGGGUGAGUAAUGCUUAGGAAUCUGCCUAUUAGUGGGGGACAACAUUCCGAAAGGAAUGCUAAUACCGCAUACGUCCUACGGGAGAAAGCAGGGGAUCUUCGGACCUUGCGCUAAUAGAUGAGCCUAGGUCGGAUUAGCUAGUUGGUGGGGUAAAGGCCUACCAAGGCGACGAUCUGUAGCGGGUCCGAGAGGAUGAUCCGCCACACUGGGACUGAGACACGGCCCAGACUCCUACGGGAGGCAGCAGUGGGGAAUAUUGGACAAUGGGGGGAACCCUGAUCCAGCCAUGCCGCGUGUGUGAAGAAGGCCUUAUGGUUGUAAAGCACUUUAAGCGAGGAGGAGGCUACUGAGACUAAUACUCUUGGAUAGUGGACGUUACUCGCAGAAUAAGCACCGGCUAACUCUGUGCCAGCAGCCGCAGUAACAC